GAACGCCAGUCGGUUGGUGUGUGAGAUUGGGAGAACAUCGCGGGAACACUUUCUCCGAUUUCAAACGUAAAAAUGCCUUCAAAUUUUCCGAAACAAAUCAAAACGGCUGCAGCAGAAGAGAUGACUGACCCCUCGGCCCAUGAGGUGUGAAAGCGAGAAUGAUGAGUGCCACUCUUCAGAAUGACGAGGUGGCAGUGCCCAGUCACAUCACACAUCAACAUUAUCAGGAUGAUCAGGUCACAGAUCGCCGAUACUUCAGGGGAGUCGGGGGAAAGUGUAAAAGCAGAAAAUUUCGGGCAGUACAGCGUACAUUUGUACACACGUUUUCAGCCAAUCAGAAUCCGAUAAAUCUGUGUCGUCAUCGGGGCGUCAUCAUGAAACCGCUUAGGAGAACUUGCCAUUAUAUCAAUAGAUAUUUCUGUAAAAUGAUGCUUCAAAUAACACUGUUCUCAGAUUUCCAGCUGUUCUUUGUUGUGACAUGCCUGAUGCCAUUCCUGAUGAUGAAAUAUAUGUAUUAGUAAUGUAGUAUAUUUCUGGUGUGUUCACUGUUGCAAUAAAUCAUACAAAUCCUGAAAA